rnacentral:rRNA from 1 species
UACGGAAGGCAGCAGUGGGGAAUAUUGCACAAUGGGCGAAAGCCUGAUGCAGCUAUGCCGCGUGUAUGAAGAAGGCCUUAGGGUUGUAAAGUACUUUCAUCGGGGAGGAAAAAACAAAACUAAUAAUUUUAUUUCUUGACGUUACCCGAAAAAGAAGCACCGGCUAACUCCGUGCCAGCAGCCGCGGUAAUACGGAGGGUGCUAGCGUUAAUCAGAAUUACUGGGCGUAAAGAGCACGUAGGUGGUUUUUUUAAAGUCAGAUGUGAAAUCCCUGGGCUUAACCUAGGAACUGCAUUUUGAAACUGAAAUACUAGAGUAUCGUAGAGGGAGGUAGAAUUCUAGGUGUAGCGGUGAAAUGCGUAGAUAUCUGGAGGAAUACCUGUGGCGAAAGCGGCCUCCUAAACGAAUACUGACACUGAGGGUGCGAAAGCGUGGGGAGCAAACAGGGAUUAGAUACC